UACUCACAACUCCACAUUUUCUCCGCCUCUGUAUUCCUCCGCCCAUGCGGAAGUUGUGACCAGGUGCAGGAGGGUUGCUGAAGAAGUACAUGGGCCUGAAAUCAAUCUUCUGUUCAACAGAAAUAUCUUAAAGACUAAACUGUUAAGGGAGGCAUUAAAACUCUGUACGUCAAAAACAUGAAAUAUGUAAUUGCGUGGGAUUGUCAAGUCCUUGUAGAUCUUCAAGUUAAGGCAUUUACAGGAAGACAAAGAAGUACAAUGAAAUUUAUGAAUAUAUAUAUUUGUAAACAAAGACUGACAAACAGCCAAUAUGCAGAAGAAAAUGAACUCUGCAAAUAAAACUCUGAGGGGCCGAAGCCCCCUCCUUUGUGAGAAUCGCAAGAUCACUAUUGAUUUGGGUCAGGAGGCCCAGGAAAUGAGAGAGAGACGUGCAGGAUGUCACGUUUCUCUCCCCCCCCCCCCCCCCCCACCCAUAGCGAUGUAAAGCUACGGGACAUGGCCAUUGUCUCCGGAAGACCAAGUUGUGUAUUGAGUACUGUACUAUUCAUUGAAGCCCCUCAGGGGGUGACCAGAGUGGGCUGGUUGAGGGAUUGCAUCAUCCCAACCUGAUUGACAUCUGAGACCCCAUGAGGAAGUAUAAAAGAGGGUCUGGGGAACAACCUCUUCAGACGCACCAGAAGAAACGCUAGCGAUCCCGUAAUAGCGGGAAGCCAUCUGAAGGAAGCCACGUGCGUUCGGUUCCCUUGCCUGGGGGCUGGUGGCUGGUACCACGGAAAACGACUUGGAACUAACAAUGGGGAACCAACUCCCCCGACUCAACGGAUUGGCCUAAUAAAAGACCCGGGCAAGUUUAAAACCGUCUCUCUUAAACCCAAAGAGCUGCAGCUUGAAAGAACAGUGACUUUUAUCUUUCCAUCGGACAAUACAAUAUCCCCUAGACAAACGAUAGAGCUAUUGCUUAACUGAUGAUUAUUAUUAUACCCGCGUUUUUAGAUUGAGUAUUGACGACGUAUAUUAUCUGAAUGUCUGUAUUAAUCUUGUUUUGUGUCCCUUUAUAAAUAAAGACUUUUAAAAAUAGUACCAUCAGACUUCAACGGACCUCUCUAUCUUUGCUGGUAAGUGAUCCAGUUACAGGAAUUUCGUAACAAUAUAAAAACAAGAUAAACAUUACUUACCUUAAUGAGACUUUUAACAAAUCUAUUUUGUCUUCUUUUGAUUUCUUCCUUUUUCUUAUUCACUUAUUCUUUCCGUAACUCAGACCCAAGCACUAGCUUCAGUUUUCCUUCUAUUUCAGUCUGAUGUUGUGUUUUAUAGAGUCUAUUAAGAUCUUCUAUUAUGUGAGAAAGUGUUUUCACAAACAAUGCACAACAGUUUUCCUGACGGACCUCCUAUAAAUAAGAACUCAUUUUCCCACUGUUCAUUGAAUUCACGCUUGCUAUCACUUUCUGCUUUUCUUUUGCUUAUUUUCUUUUGCACUGUGUUGGGUAACUAAAUGUAAAAACAAGGUUUAAUUUUUGAAAAAGUACAAAACUACAGAUGUUCACAAAGGACGAACAGAGCACAACUCCAUAGUGCACGAGUGUCAUUUGUAAACUUGCAAAAACCUACAACGCACUGCUGGUGCAGACGCCUGGUGCCUCAGGAUCAAACAGUUAGGUAAUGACAGAACAAAAGUCCUUCUUUCCUAGUUUAACUCAUUGAACAUUUUUUAAAAUUGAAAAUAGAUUAAUGUGAAAGAACAUAACAUUUGCCAAAAGAUGUGCACAAAUUACGAAGAUGUGCAUAAUAAAAUCGCUAAAAAUAGUUGCUAAGUUUUAGAUUUAUUCUCAGUAAAACCCAUUUCUAGUUCUAAGCUACUUGAAUUCCUGUUAUAGAUAUUUUUUCUACCAAUUGGUUUUUGGUUAAUACUUUUUGCAUGAGUAGGCUUACUUUUUUAUUAUUAUCACUGGGGUGCAAUGCACCGCUUCUAAUCAUCCAAAGUGCCUCUUUUGGCGCAUGGCCAUAUGUUGGCCAUUCCUGCUCUACAACAUCUCCAUUAACUAUUUUGGCAUUUGGGUUCCCAUUUCCCUGCAAAUUCUAGUUUAAACCCCACUGUGCAGCAUUAGCAAACCUUCCCGCUUAAAGCAUCAGGAUUCAAACCACCAAGUUCCAGAACAGUUCCUACCUCUCAACCAUCAGAUUCUUGAACCAAAUGGGUAACUUCACUCAGCUUCACAUGCCCCAACUUUGAAAUGUUCACACAACCAAUGGAUUCACUUUCAAGAACUUUUCAUCUCAUGUUCCGUAUAUUUACUGCCUGUUAUUUAUUAUUAUUAUUUCUUUCUUUCUUUUUGUAUUUUCACAGUUUGUUGUCUCUGUACUCUGGUUGAACGCCCAAGCUGGGCUGUCUUUCAUUGAUUCUGUUAUGGUUAUUAUUCUUAGAUUUAUUGAGUAUGCUCACAAGGAAAUGAAUCUCAGGGUAAUAUAUGGUGACAUACAUGUACUUUGACAAUAAAUUUUCUUUGAACUUUGAGAAUAAAUUGUCUAGGAUUGGCUAAGUGUCAAAAUGGGCAUUUUUGCUGAUGGGCACAGACUUGGUGGGCUGAUGGAUCUGUUUACCUUUUCCGCACUUUUCUCUGAUCCUGUGACACGUUGACAAUGGUUGUUGUCUGCAACUUAUAUUAGUAUGAAUGUGCUUGCCAGUGAACAGGGAAGGCUUGAAGGUUAUUCAGGUCUUGUUGCAUACUUUGCCAUGAACUAUUUGUGCAAAUGGAUAUAAUUGUUGUGUUAUCAUCUGCUGAGAACAAUAUCAGUAGAUUGAUGUUAAUUGACGGCACAGAUAAAAACUGUGUGGUGGAAAGUGUGCUGACUGGCUGCAUUGCAGCCUAAUAUUGGAACGCCAAUGCUUUUGACAGAAAGUCCUACAAAUGGUAGUGGAUUUGGCUGAGUACAUCAUAGGUAAAACCCUCCUAACCAUUAAGCACAUCUGCAUGCAACAUUGGUGUAAGAAAGCGUCAUCCAUCAUCAAAGGUCCUUGCCUCUUUUCUCACUGCUGCCAUCAGGUAGAAGGUACAAGUGCCUCAGAACCCACACCACCAGUUUCAAAAACAGUUACUGCCCCUCACCAUUAGGCUUUUGAACAAAAUGGAAUAACUACACUCAUUUAAGGACUCUUUUAUUUUGUGUUCAUUUUUUAUUGCUGUUUAUUUAUUAUUUACACUUGCGUAAUUUGUUUUCCUUAUCCACUCGUUCCCUUCCCACUGAUCUCCCUUCUGGCACUUAUCCUUGUAAGCGGAACAAGUGCUACACCUGCCUUUACACUUCCUCCCUCACCACCAUUCAGGGCCCCAGACAGUCCUACCAGGUGAGGCGACACUUCACCUGUGAGUCAGCUGGUGUGGUAUACUGCGUCCGGUGCUCCCGGUGUGGCCCUUUAUAUAUUGGUGAGACCCAGCACAGACUGGGAGACCAUUUCGCUGAACACCUACGCUCUGUCCACCAGAGAAAGCAGGAUCUCCCAGUGACCACACAUUUUAAUUCCACGUCCCAUUUCCAUUCGGAUAUGUCUAUCCAUGGCCUCCUCUACUGUCAAAAUGAAUCCAAGCUCAGGUUGGAGGAACAACACCUUAUAUACCGGCUGGGUAGCCUCCGACCUGAUGGCAUGAACAUUGACUUCUCUAAUUUCUGUUAAUGCCCUUCCUCCCCUUCUUACCCCAUCCCUGACAUACUUAGUUGUUUUUUUUUCUCUCUCUCUCCACCCAUCACUCUGCCUGUUCUCCAUCUCCUUCGGGUGCUUCCCCCACCCCCUUUCUUUCUCUGAGGCCUCCCGUCCCAUGAUCCUUUCCCUUCUCCAGCUCUGUAUCACUUUUGCCAAUCACCUUUCCAGCUCUUAGCUUCAUCCCACCCCCUCCUGUCUUCUCCUAUCAUUUUGCAUUUCCCCCUCCCCCCACUACUUUCAAAUCUCUUACUAUCAUUCCUUUCAGUUAGUGCUGACGAAGGGUCUCGGCCCGAAACGUCGACAGUGCUUCUCCUUAUAGAUGCUGCCUGGCAUUUUGUGUGUGUUGCGUAAUUUGUUUACUAUUUACAGAUCCUGUUUACAGUUACUGUUCUAUAGAUUUGCUAUGUAUGCCCACAGAAAAAGAAUCUCCGGGUCGUAUGUGGUGACAUGUAUGUACUCUGACAAAUAAAUUUUACUUUGAAAUCUGAACUUUGAGACUGCAGAUGCUGGAGUUUGGAGCAGAUGGAGAGCAAUCUGCUGAAAGAUAAAAACCUUUAAUUGUACAACUAUCAAGAGGGCUGGGUUCACAGAAGAAUUUGCAUCUGCAAAGCAUUUUUGUUAACAUGCUGUGCCCAUGGUUUUACAGGUAAGGAAUUGACUUGAAUUGAAUUGACUUUAUUAUUGCUUACAUCCUUCGAAUACAUGAGGAGUAAAUAUCUUCAGGUUACAUCUCCGUUCAAAUGUGCAAUGUGCAAUUAUAAUAAUUUAUAAUAAAUAUUAUGUACAACAGGAUAGACAAUAUAUCAUAGAAAUACAGUUGCGUCAGCAUGAAUUAAGCAGUCUGAUGGCCUGGUAGAAGUAGCUGUCCUGGAGCCUGUUGGUCCUGGCUUUUAUGUGUGCCGUUGCCCAGAUGGUAGCAGCUGAAACAGUUCGUGGCUGGGGUGACUCAGGUCUCCGAUGAUUCUUCAGGCCCUUUUUACACACUUGUCUUUGUAAAUGUCCUGAAUAGUGGGAAGUUCACAUCUACAGCUGCAUUGGGUUGUCUGCACCACUCUCUGCAGAGUCCUACGAUUGAGGGAGGUACAGUUCCCAUAUCAGGCAGUGAUGCAGCCAGUCAGGAUGCUCUCAAUUGUGCCCCUAUAGGAAGAAUCUGGGGGGCCAUACCAAACUUCUUCAACCAUCUGAGGUGAAAGAGGUGCUGUUGUGCCUUUUUCCAUCACAGAGCCGGUAUGUACAGACCACAGAAAUGUACAGAAAUCUUUCAUGAUGUUUAUGCCAGGGAACAUAAAGCUGUUCACUCUCUCAACCCCAGAUCCAUUGAUGUCUAUAGGGGGUUAGCCUGUUUCCAUUCCUCCUGUAGGCCACAACCAGCUCCUUUGUUUUUGCAACGUUGAGGGAGAGGCUGUUUUCUCGACACCAUUGUGUCAGGGUGAUGAAGUUCUUUUGCAGUGUAAUCACUUCACAUAUUCUAGUUACCAGUUUUUAAUCUGAUGAGGUAAUUAUUCCUCCACCAUAAUGGGACAGAGAGGAGAAUGCUACUUAAACCACUAUAUUUCAAAUAUCCAAAAAAUAAUCCAUUGUUUCUCCCAUUUCAACACAGCAUUCAACAUGAUGAUAUAUGCACAGCACAGGAGAAUGUUAUUUGGCCCUCUUUGACAUUGCUACAGUAUCUAUUCAGCUUCUCUUUGGUCAUUGCCUGCAAAGUUUUCCUUUACAUUAUCAAAUUGUUUCUUAUUCUCUCCUCUAGGUUCUAAUCCACAUAUGUUAAUGUAAAGAAGAACUUCCUGAUAAUCAGCCUGAAUUAUUGCUCCUUGUAACACUGCUGGAACUUAAUUGUUCUUUGCUCAUAUAAACCGAGUAAAGCUGCCUACAUGGAUUAUAAAAUUAGUAGUAAUCUUUUUUAUGAGGACUGGGUUAUGCUGUCUUUUAGAAACGGAGCAAUUGUUUUAAAUUUUUUAAUUAAUCAAAAAUUAUAGCAUAUAGCAGUCUCUUCUUGUUUGUCAAUCAAUGCAAGGAAAAUCAAAUGACAUGAUAAGGACAUAUAGCUUCCCUAAAAUUUGUACCCUAAUAAUGCUUCAUGAGAGAAUACCCACACCUUAAUAUAAUCUCCAUCAAAAUCCCCCAUGAUUUCCUUUAUCAUCUCCCCAUGGUAACAUCCAAGAUUUGCUAUUAUAUUUCUCUCAUCACGCAUUUUAUAUAUAACUAUUACACAGAUAGAGUGGGAGUUUAUACAAAAGACACACAGCAGGGAAACCAAGCAACAAAAUAUGUCACUAUGUUGACUUCAUGUCAAAGUGCCACAGGAACUUGAGACUUUGGAUGAAUGCCUACAUGAAGCUACUGAGCUGGAGUCUGCCAUGGUAAAAAUGAAAACUUGGCAGUGGAAUCCAGGGAUGAAGGACCAUAUGUUAACUUGCUCUUUUAUUUUCCUUGACCGGUGCAAUUAAGUUUAGGAAUCUGGAACGUUUCACUCCAUGUCCCUUUGAAGACAGUACUGAUGCAUGGCGCAGUGGUUGCUUCUUAGAUAAGAAGAUAUCCUCCAUUGCCUUCAUCCCCAACACUGGAGAUUACGUAGAUGCUGGAAACCUUGAGCAACACACAGAAAAUGCUGGAGAAACUGAGCAAGUCGGGAAGCAUCUAUGAAGGGGAUUAAGUCCACCCCUCCCUCACCCACCCACCUUUCCCCUCACCUGGUCUCACCUGCCAGCUUGUACUUCUCCCCAUCUUUUCUGCUACCUUCUUAUUCUGGCUUCUGGCCCUUCCUUUCCAGUCUUGAUGAAGGGUCUUGGACCAAAAUAUCAAUAAUUUAUUCCUCACCAUAGAUGCUUCCCGUGUUGCUGAAUUUCUCCAGUAUUGUGUAUGUGUUGCUCCAUUGUCUUAACUCCAGUCCAGAUUUUGGAAUCUGUUCUCUUUUAUUAUCAAUCUGAAUGACUGAGUCAUCGAUUUCAAGCAAUUAAAACAAAACUGCUCCUCUUUUAAACCUACACAAAAACAGUUAACUCCAACUGAGUGAAAUUGAACUGCAUCAAGUCUACUCACAGUAUCUGUGUCCAUUACGUUCUCUAAUCCCUCCAGUGUCUACCAGUCAUGAAAGCUUUUAAGAGUACAAGCAGACAGAAACAUUCCUGCUGGCAUGCCCCAUGUUCCAUGACGUAUUCUGAACAGAUCAGAGGCUAAGAUUUAUCCACCAUGUAGGCUUUCAAAGUCACUUGGAAGAACAAGGAGCCAAUGGAACUUCCAGGGGUUGUACUUCUCACCACCUUUUGUGUUCUGAUGAGAAGGGGCACUCCUGUGAGGACCUUCAUGUAUUACUGGAGUAUCAGGGCUACUUUACACUCCUUUUGAAGGGGGCUGAUAUUCACAACGUCUCAGAUUGUGCAUUUGCUAAGGUUUGUGAAUAGAUGGUUGACAUGGAGCGAUGGUGCAGGAAAGCAGUUUCCAUUAUCAGGGACUCCCACCACCCAGGACAUACUCUCUUCUCAACUCUGCCAUUAGGAAGAAGAUACAGGGCCUCAGGGCUUACAUCAGCAGGCAUCAGGCUCUUGAACCAAAGUGGAUAACUUCACUUGUCUAAAAUCUAUCGAGCUACUUUCAAUGCCUCUUCACCUCAUGUUCUCAAUAUUUAUUGCUUAAUUAUUUAUUAUUAAUAUCGUAUUUUUAUUUUGUCUCAGCUGAAACUGGUAAAACUAGCAUACUCAUUUGUCAAUUGCUAGGAUUGUUAAUACUGUGGCUUUUUGGAGAUUUACAUAAAUAUUGCUGCUUAGGGAUAAUUGUUAAAUGCUAUUUUAUAGUGACCUUGGGAUAAUACCAGUUGUAGAUAUUACUAUUGAUACAAUGUAUACCCUGCUUAUGUUCCAUAGCCUUUCAAUAUCUUCAGGACUGAAAAAGGGUCUUGGCCCAAAAUGUUGACUAUUUACUCUUUUCCAUAGAUGCUGCCUGGCCUGUUGAGUUCCUCCAGUAUUUUGUGUGUAUUGCAAAGUUGAAAAAUGUUGAGAUAAAUGUUGUGCUUUCCAUUGAAAGUAAUAGAUUAUAGAAAUUCCUGAUGAAAUGCCACAGCACAACAAUAAAACAAAAGCAAGGCUAAUUUUAGCUCAGAAUCCUGCUUACACAAUUACAUUGCACACAAAUUCUCUGCCCUCUUGAAUUAGUUUCAGCUAUAGUUAGCAGGGUUAGUUUGUUCUGAUGUCACAUUGCCUGGGUGUCAAGUAACUUCAAAUAUUUUAAUAAUAACACAGAUACACUCCAACAUUAUACAUUAUUUAAGACAUUCAAGAUUAUAAACAAAUAACUAGUAAUUCAUUUCAUGAUUGCUUCUGCUUUUGUUUGUACAGAAGAGUCAAUGGAUUAGCUGACAUAAAAGCAGUCAAUCACCUCUUAAAGCCCAUUAGAAGACCACAAAGAAGCUUUGACACAACAAGCUGUUUCAUAAUUGCUAACAGCUGAAAAUGGCCAGCAUGUUCACCCAAAUAACAUGAAAAUGAUAAAAGUGUGUGUCAGAGACAUGAACUAUUGCAUACGUUAUGUAUGUGACAGAUCUCUGCAGCCACUCUCCUCUUGUGUUUACACAAAACCCUGAAAAAGGCUUAUUUUUUGUUAAUCCAAGUUCCCUUUGUAAAUUAUACCAGAAUGUGUCUCCAACGGCCUUUCAGCAAGAGUUGUGGACUCCAGAAUAUUAAUGGUUUUGUUUCCCUCUUGCCAUCUGGCAUGUUCAACAUAUCCUUUAUUUUCUUUUCUGUUUCAGAUUUUCAGAACUUGUAGUAAGUUAGAAACAUGGAAAACCUAAGGCACAAUACAGGCCCUUUGGCCCACAAUGAUGUGCUGAACAUGUACUUACGUUAGAAAUUACCUAGGGUUACCCAUAGCCCUCUAUUUUUCUAAGCUCCAUCUACCUAUCCAGGAGCCUCUUAAACAACCCUAUCGUAUCUGCCUCCACCACCAUUGCUGGCAGCCCAUUCCACGUAUUUUUGCUUUAGGAAGUUUGCUUCCAAAUCAUUAUAGCUCACUGGGAGCGAAAGUAGUUUUCUUUUGUCUCCUCUGGUUCCAUUGAUGAUUAUUUCUGAUCUCUGGCAUCUGAUUAUUGAUGCUAUUGACCUAUUUGGAAAGAUUUUUCAAAGAAGUCUGGGGAGUGGGGCUGAGGAGGGGGAAAAAAAAGAUCAGCCAUGAUUGAAUGGUGGAGCAGAUUUGAUAGUCAAAUAGCCUAAUUCUGCUCCUAUGUCUUAUGGUCUUAUGGUUUUACUUUGUAAUUCUUGACUUAGCUAACAAUGUGAUAUGUUAAAAUCCUGACGAAGGGUCUCGGCCAAAACAUUGUCUGUACUCUUUCCAUAGAUGCUGAGCUCCUCCACAAUUUUGUGUGCUAUGUGAAAUGCAUUCUCAGAUUUUACAGUGAGUGAACCUAAAGUGUAGAAAGGGGAGAAUGAAAACACUCAUAUAAUGAAUAGAAGUUUUAGGUUUGACUGAAUGCCAGAGAUUUUGCUAACGCUAGAACUCCAAAGUAACACACACAAAGUGUCGGGGCCGGAGGCGAGGGACUGGCGGGUGCAGCUUGCUGCUCUGCAGUCUGAGGCUGAAGCAUGCAACUACGGGCCCCUGAAUCGGCUGCCAGGCGUGGCUUCGUGUCUGUGACUCACUCUUGUGAAUUUCAGUUCAGAAUGCUAGUUCUUACUUUUAUUGUUUGCACAAUUUGUUUUUUUUCCUCUGUACAUUGGGCGUUUGACUGUCUUCUUUUUUUAAUGGGUUCUAUUGGGUUUCUUUGUUCUGUGGCUGCCUGUAAGGAAACAAAUCUCAAGGUUGUGUAAAGUACACAUACUUUGAUGAUAAAUGUGCUUUAAACUUUGAAUUCGGCUGGUCAGGGGAGGAAUAAGGAGCCGAUGUUUUGGCUGAGACCCUUCAAUUUGACCAUUUUUCUGCAUUGUGUGAUUCUGGCUAAUUUGCAUUCUGGGUGGAAUGGACUAUCAAGGAAGGCUUUUGUUUCAGAAAACUCAGUAGAGAGAGAGAUGCCUGUAAAAUAAUUUGACAAUGCGAUAAGUGUGAUGUUGUUGAUUAUUGUAUUGUCGUUGUUCAGUCGUUUAGUUGAGUCCGACUCUUUGUGACCUCAUGGACCAUAGGGUCCAUAAGGUUUUCAUGGCAGGUAGAUUGCCAGGCCUUUCUUCUGCACAGAUACUGCUGCUGCCCAGGUUGGAACCCGCCUGGUUUUGAACUCUGGACCAUCUGCCUUGAAGUCCAGUGCUGAUGCCACUGCACCACCAGUUGGCCCAUUAUUGCAUAUUACAUUAAUUUUCUCAGGAAUUAGUUACAGUCACAAAUAAAAAGCAUAAUAAGGGUUUGAGACAAAUAACACUUCAGUCAUAGUGGGUUAGUCCAUGAGGAAAAACCAGUGGAAGGGUAUGCACAGUGGAGACUCCUGUGGAGCAUAAACAUAAGAUGGACUAAUUAGGGCAAAUGGUCUGUCUCCUAUUCUGUGUUGCACAUAAUGUAUGAUAGUAACAUUCUCUGUAAACAUAAGGACCCACAAAUAAUAAAGAAUAUAAACUUGAUUUAGAAGGGUGGAUGGAAACCGGUAAGAGAAAAAGUAAAACAUGAAUGUAAUUCCUAUCUCUUCACAUUUCCUUUCCCAACUAAAGAAGAUUCCCGCAACGACAGUGGCAUGUUCCAUAUUGAACACUAUUGCAAUCCAAAUGAUACAAUCCUGAAACCGUAGAGCCAAAAACAGCAGUGACAAUUAACAACGUAUCACUCAUGAUUCAUAGGUUACAAUGUUUUUCUACAUUGCAACAGUUUCAGCACAUCAAUAGCUGUGAGGCACUUUGGAUAUCUGUAUAGGUUCUAUUUAAAAACAAGUCUUUUUCACACUUCAUUGAAGGACUUACUUCCUAAUUAGUUCUAAUCACUGUUCCCUCUAAAUUGUGCAGGUGUGCGGCUGCUCAGUAACUGAAAUGGCCUUUAUUGCCGCACAGCUGGAAUUGGAUGCCGCUAGAAAAAGUUUACAAAAUGUGUAAGAUUUUCUUUGUUGUGCUGUAUUUCAUUUCACUCUAAAUAGAAGUAUGUGAUAUUUCAAACAAGAGAAAAUCUGCAGAUGCUAGAAAUCCAAAAUAACACACACAAACUGCUGGAGGAACUCAGCAGGUUAGGCAGCAUCUAUGGAAAAGAGUAAACAGUCGACGUUUUGCAGAGAACAUUAACUGUUUACUCUUUUCCAUAGAUGUGUCCUGGGGUGCUGAUUUCCUCCAGUAUUUUGUGUGUGAUUUUUCAAUUUUCAUUUUAAAAAUUCUCAUAUGCGUAUUGCCAAAAAAAAAACAAUACUGCUGUGCAGUUUUCAGCCCAUGUCUUAAUUUCCUGCUCAGAGCAAUGGUUGGUUCAGGCAGCUGUAAAAAAUUUAGAGGGAACGUUGGUUCUAAUCUUUACAAACAUGUAUAUUACUCAAUAUUUUUGUGUGCUUUAGAUUGGAGCAUUAACCUGUUUUUCCAGGGGCUUGUACAAUGAGCCUGCCAAGAUUUGUACAUACGAUGGUAAAUGCUUCCUUACAUUUUAGCAUGAUUGAAUUAUGAGGCUCUCGUUAGUCUCGUUAGAUAUUGAGUCCUCGUUGUUUACAAGCCUGUACGCAAGCUAGGGAAGUACAAUAUGGAGAGCAGGUUGUUGCACAGACAGCAGGCUCCCCCUUUCCAUGCAUUUGAUGAACCUAAAGGAAUGAGUUCAAGAGUUCCCAGUCAGCAUAGAACUCAACAUGGGACUGCCAUAGAAGUUCCAGCUCCGGAUUUUUCCACAAAGUUUACACCUGAGUUCUUUCCUAUGAGUGGAUAUAGCCACAAGACAGCAGAAGUUUGUGAUCAGAGUUUUCCUUCUCCAAGGUGAGCUGCCAAUCACAGCAGGUGAGCUCCAUCUGACCAAAGCAACGGGUUUUAAGGUGACAGUAACCCACCUUUGCCCCUUAUCCUGUCAGUAGAAAUGGUUCCACUGGGCUUACUAGUUGAGCCACACGUGAAGGCCAGGAGCUGGACUUGGAUGUCAGAGUCUAUUUGAAGCACACACCUUUGGGAGCACUUAAUUGGUAGUGGGAGUUUGUCUUGAUUACCCCCGCUGGCUAUGACAACCUUAAAGAACCAAUUUGAUCAGACCUAUUGACAAGGAAGGAAGACACAGUAAUAAACUUGUCUCUUUCUGGAUACAGCCUAAUCUUUGCUCAGAUGAUAUUUACAUCCUUAACAUUUUCACUUGGAUAGUCUCAAAAGCUACAGGAGGAAAAACAGAUCUUUCAGCCCAACUGCCUAGGCUAGGAGGAAUUGUCAAUGUUUUGAUUAGAAACCCUACAUCUGCAAUCUUUUGUGUUUUUAUACCUGAGGCUAGUGUUUAUAUUCCCUAGAUCCUCUUAGUACAUCCAGCGAGUCCUGAUUCCAUCGUUUAGGGUUUUAAGAAUGUGUGGGAAUUCAGCACCAGGAAAAAACAUUCUGUAAGAAGCUCCAUUCUUG